GGUAGUAGCAAAUACUCAAGUGAGAUCCUUGAAGACUGAAGUGGAGAAGGGUUCCACGUGAAUAGUAGUUGAAUGUGGGUCAGUCGAUGCUAAGAGAUCGGCUAAUGCCGCUGCGGAUUAUUGAGAACAGGAGUUCAAAUCCAUCUCGGCAAUCGAAAGGGAAACGGGUUAAUAGUUCCGUACCUGGACACGGAAAUAUAUGCUCAAAGAAUUAUCUUAGACUUUAGUUUUAGCUUUAGACCGGGGCUUUUGAGCACUGGUUCCGGUGCCGCUGGGAGGAGGGGAGGGGUGGGGUCUCCUUCCAGCGGUGAAAGACCUUUCGCC
rnacentral:ncRNA from 1 species